AAUAAGAGAAAGGCAUGCUCAGAAGCGAUGAGCCACCUAAAAACCCUUAGGACCACCUGUCCUGCAUCACACUCCUGAUCAACUCCACCCUCAGGAGAUCCUCUACCAGACUAUACCAGAGAAGUCGAAAGCCUGUGCAGGAAUGCAUAGAAACCUGGAAAACCAGGAGUUUCCAAACUUGGAUAAAAGAAGCAAAAGCAUCAGCUCUUUGGAUGAUGAAGGGUGAGCUAGGAGACACUGGGCACACUGCAGUAAGAUGCUGACAAGCGACGCAAAGCCAACCACGUUUGGAGUCAUUAGAGACUAGUCCCCUAGAUACUGCUGUGAUAAGUUCCUCAACAGGCCUGUCAGACCCAGCUGAACCAGAGAGCAGUUUGCCUGUACUGCCUCUGAAACCCUUCCCAGUGGAGUAACCUCCGUCUGUCUUCUAGAUCAAAGCAUUUGUCUCCUACGGUCUCCUUGUUUCUGUCUAUUCCGUCUCUGGUGAUAGUAUGAGGAAAUGCGUUAUGCUAAAUCUAACUACCACCUGCACCAAUUCAUUGUCUUCCUUUUGUUGUGGGGAAAUAAUAAAAACGAGCUGGCAUAUUCUUGCACUUGUGCCACCAACUCUCUGUCCUGGCUGCCUGGUCGGCCAU
rnacentral:lncRNA from 1 species